UACGUAGGGGGCAAGCGUUGUCCGGAAUCACUGGGCUUAAAGCGUGUGUAGGCGGGCGAUCAAGUACCUUGUGAAAUCCCACGGCUCAACCGUGGAACCGCUGGGUAUACUGGUUGUCUUGAGCCGGCUAGGGGCGAGCGGAACAGACGGUGGAGCGGUGAAAUGCGUAGAUAUCGUCUGGAACGCCGAAGGUGAAAACAGCUCGCUGGGGCCGCGCUGACGCUGAGACACGAAAGCCAGGGGAGCGAACGGG
rnacentral:rRNA from 1 species